GGACUACACGGGUAUCUAAUCCUGUUUGCUCCCCACGCUUUCGUAGUUGAGUGUCAGUUCCUGUCCAGUAAGCCGCCUUCGCCUCUGGUGUUCCUCCCGAUCUCUACGCAUUUCACCGCUACACCGGGAAUUCCACUUACCUCUCCAGGACUCCAGUCUCACCGUCUCUGGGGCACUUCUUGAGUUAAGCUCAAGGCUUUCACCCCAGACAAAUGAGACCACCUACCUACCCUUUACGCCCAAUAAUUCCGAGCAACGCUUACACCCUCCGUAUUACCGCGGCUGCUGGCAC
rnacentral:rRNA from 1 species